GAGUUUGAUCAUGGCUCAGGAUGAACGCUGGCGGUAUGCUUAAUACAUGCAAGUCGAGCGAGAGUCUUCGGACUCGAGCGGCGAACGGGUGAGUAACACGUAGGAAAUCUGCCGUAAAGACUGGGAUACCAGACCGAAAGGUUUGCUAAUACCGGAUAUGAAUUGGGGAGGCAUCUCCCGAAUUUGAAAGUUGCGUAUGCAACACUAUACGAUGAUCCUGCGGCGCAUUAGUUAGUUGGUGAGAUAACAGCCCACCAAGACGAGGAUGCGUAGCCGACCUGAGAGGGUGAUCGGCCACAAUGGAACUGAGCCAGGAUCAAACUC
rnacentral:rRNA from 1 species